GCCAGCAGCCGCGGUAAGACGUAGGGGGCAAGCGUUGUCCGGAAUUAUUGGGCGUAAAGCGCUCGUAGGUGGAUUGACAANGUCCGCAAGCAAAGACCCGGGCUCAACUCGNGGAAUCCGUGUGGAAACUGUCGAUCUUGAGGKAGUCAGAGGAUGAUGGAAUUCCCGGUGUAGCGGUGAAAUGCGUAGAUAUCGNGGAGGAACACCAGUGGSGAAGGCGAUCAUCUGGGGCUAACCUGACACUGAGGAGCGAAAGCUAGGGGAGCAAACGGGAUUAGAUACCCCGGUAGUCCUASCCGUAAACGNAUGSAC
rnacentral:rRNA from 1 species